UACGUAGGGGGCAAGCGUUGUCCGGAUUUAUUGGGCGUAAAGAGCGUGUAGGCGGCCAGGUAGGUCUGCUGUGAAAACUCGAGGCUUAACCUCGAGCUGUCGGCGGAAACCAUCUGGCUAGAGUCCGGAAGAGGAGAAUGGAAUUCCCGGUGUAGCGGUGAAAUGCGCAGAUAUCGGGAAGAACACCCGUUGCGAAGGCGGUUCUCUGGGACGGUACUGACGCUGAGACGCGAAAGCGUGGGGAGCGAACAGG
rnacentral:rRNA from 1 species